AAGUCGUAACAAGGUUUCCGUAGGUGAACCUGCGGAAGGUUCAUUAAUGAUUGGCCUGAUGGCCUUAUCGAAUAUCCAACACCUCUGUGAACCGUUUUGACCCUCGGGUCUUUUUUACAUGCAAACAUUUGUGUAACGAACGUCUUGUUAUCUUAACAAAACAAAACUUUCAACAACGGAUCUCUUGGCUCUC
rnacentral:misc_RNA from 1 species